AACGAGACCUUAGCCUGCUAAAUAGGAUCGGGAACUUUUUUGUUCUCGCAUCACUUCUUAGAGGGACUUUGCGUGUCUAACGCAAGGAAGUUUGAGGCAAUAACAGGUCUGUGAUGCCCUUAGAUGUUCUGGGCUGCACGCGCGCUACACUGGUGCAUGCAACGAGUUUUUGACCUUGGCCGGAAGGUCUAGGUAAUCUUUUGAGUAUGCAUCGUGAUGGGGAUAGAUUAUUGCAAUUAUUAAUCUUCAACGAGGAAUGCCUAGUAGGCGCAAGUCAGCAGCUUGUGCCGAUUACGUCCCUGCCCUUUGUACACACCGCCCGUCGCUGCAACCGAUCGGAGGGUCCUGUGAACUCGAUGGACUGCCCAUCCCCUUCUUGGGGUUGGGCUGGAAGUUGCGUAAAUAGAGCCCUCUAAAGGAUGCAAAAGUCGUAACACGGUUUCCGUAGGUGAACCUGCGGAAGGAUCAUUC
rnacentral:rRNA from 1 species